GGUGCCGCGCAGCAAGGGGGCUGCCCAUGCGGCAGGUCUUCCGGGCCUGCUCCUCCGGCCGACGUAAACCACGUGAUCAAGUGAUGCUUUCAGAGGAAUUCUGGAGAGAGAAAAAAACGUCUCAAGGAAGCUUGACUGAAUGGCGGAUACCAUCUCUCCCCCGUCAUCCGUGUAAAAUAAUGCUGCGUUCUUUGGGGGUCACUGUGACCCAUCAGAAGGCUCUAUGCCCAGCAUGGAGCUCAAGGCAGGACUUGAACUCAGAACCAUGAGAUAAGACCUGAGCUGAGACCAAGUGUUGGACUCUCAACCGACUGAACCACCAGGUACCCCUAUUAUGAUGGUUCUUACAGAGAGGUCCUCUGACCACAGCAUCCGCAUCUCCUGGGAACUUGGUUAAGAAUGCAAAUUCCCAGGCUCCACCCCAGGCCUGAUGAACCACUGUCUCUGGUGGGUAGUCCAGCCAUCUGCGCUGUACCAAGCCUUCCAGAUGAUUCUGGUGCAUGCUCAUGUUUGAGAACCACUGCUCUCUUCCAUUGCUUGGAGUGUGAAUGCACUACAGAAUACUACAGGACUCACCAUGCUCCAUAAGCUUCAAAAAGCCAACCAGCUCUCCAACCAAUAAAGUUGCCCCAUUCCCCAGAGCUGACUGUCCAUUCAGUCUGUAGAGGUAGAUCCCUUUCAGACAGUUUGUAUGCUUCCUUUGUAUGUUUCGUUGUGUGUGUCCUCAUUGACGUUUUGUGGCAGCCAGGAGCUUGGAUGGCUGUUAACAGAGAGGUACAGGCUCUCCGGGACCCACUGUGGUGUGCAUUCCUGCCCUGCUUCUCUGCACCUGUGUCAGGGUUUCCCAGAAGGCAGAUGGAAGGCGGUGCUGGGUGGAGGGAGGGAAUACAGGCAGUAUGUGCUUGGCCUUUGUGGAAGCUGAGGGGAAGAUCCACCCUGUACCCCAGGCAGCUUUCCUCAGGGAGCAGGGGCUGCCUGUGCAGCCGAGGAGGGCCAGCGUGGCAUGAAUGGAGACCUUGUAUCGAAGACCUCACUGGAGCCAGGAGCCACAACACAGGGGCUUUUCACGAGCAACCUCGCAACAGAGGCGGCAUUGAGCGUGACUGGUGGCUUUCGGGUAGACGUGGGGUCUGGUAGACGCGUGGCAUCAGUGGAACAACAUUGCUGCUCCUCCUGACCCUGCCUUGGCUGGGGUGGGGGGGAGGUCAGAUGUCUCCUUUCAGAGGAGAAGACUCGAAGAGUCAUAGUGUCCGUAGCUCAAGCUGCCUGGACAUCAUCCCCCUCCCCCCAUGGGCCAUCAGUCAGGGUUCAAGGCUGUAGCAGGGGCACAGAAUGUGAGCAAGGGGGUCCAUGUGUACUGGGCAGGAACGGGUUAAAGAUAGCUGCUUGGAGACAUUGCCAAAGCCCAACUCCACUGGGGCUUGCUAUAAGACCAGGGACAAUGCCAGGCAUGUUGUUUCUGUCUAAGAGGGAUGCAAGCCCAUUGUGCGCCCCCAAGGGGUUAUUGAGAGGUCAGGAAGCGCUGUUGGGGGGCUGCUGUUUGGAGUCUGCCCAGGAGCAUUCAGAAUGGGGUGACAAUGAGGGUGGGGGAGAGAGGUGGGGUUAAUGCUACCAAAGGAGAAGAGUUUCCCUCCAUCACAUAUAGACACACCCUCUCCAUCACCUGCAGCCAACCCUCACUUCCCCAAGGUGGUUAACUGACCAGCUAGCCAGGUCCCUGAUUUCCUGUCCCUUUUGCACUGUCUCUUUUAGGGUGACCCAUUGUCCUGGAUUCCCUGGGACCAAGGAUUUCCCAGGAUGCAGAACAUCUGGGGCUAAAAUUGGGACAACUGUCACCCUACUUUCAUCCUGGAGAGCUUUUGUUGCAUUUGAAACUUCUCAUACUUCUCUCUCAUGACUCCCCCACCAAAAAUUUGAUAACAAAAGGGGACAGGACUGUUUUGCCACUUGCAAGCAUGGCUAAUGGUGUAUUGUCUGCAGAUGUGGUGGGUCUGCAGAAGCCCUGGUUCAAAUAAAAUCGAGAAGCAAGUUAUGGCUGAUGUUUAUUUAGCAUAAGUAUAUUGAGGAGGCAUCCAUGCAUUCCCCAUUUUCACUCGGUGGACACGUUGAUCCCCUACUUCUUUGCUCCCUUGAAGGACUCUUGCACUCAGCCCAGCAGGUUCCAUUCAU